AAGACCUUGCGCUUUUGGAGCGGCCGAMGCCUGAUUAGCUAGUUGGUGGGGUAAUGGCCUACCAAAGCUUCGACCAGUAGCUGGUCUGAGAGGACGGCCAGCCACACUGGGACUGAGACACGGCCCAGACUCCUACGGGAGGCAGCAGUGGGGAAUUUUGGACAAUGGGCGCAAGCCUGAUCCAGCCAUGCCGCGUGAGUGAAGAAGGCCUUCGGGUUGUAAAGCUCUUUCAGCCGGGAAGAAAAGGUUGCGAUUAAUAAUCGCAAUUUAUGACGGUACCGGAAGAAGAAGCACCGGCUAACUACGUGCCAGCAGCCGCGGUAAUACGUAGGGUGCGAGCGUUAAUCGGAAUUACUGGGCGUAAAGGGUGCGCAGGCGGUUUUGUAAGUCAGAUGUGAAAUCCCCGGGCUUAACCUGGGAACU
rnacentral:rRNA from 1 species